rnacentral:rRNA from 1 species
CAGCCGUAAACUAUGCUCGCUAGGUGUCAGGCAUGGCGCGACCGUGUCUGGUGCCGCAGGGAAGCCGUGAAGCGAGCCACCUGGGAAGUACGGCCGCAAGGCUGAAACUUAAAGGAAUUGGCGGGGGAGCACCACAACAGGUGGAGCCUGCGGUUUAAUUGGAUUCAACGCCGGACAUCUCACCGGAUAAGACAGCUGAAUGAUUGUCAAUCUGAAGGUUUUACAUGACUAGCUGAGAGGAGGUGCAUGGCGUCAGUGACU